rnacentral:rRNA from 1 species
CACGUAGGGCGCAAGCGUUGUCCGGAAUUAUUGGGCGUAAGAGCUCGUAGGCGGUCUGUUGCGUCCGCUGUGAAAACUCGGGGCUUAACCCCGAGCCUGCAGUGGAUACGGGCAGACUAGAGGUAGGUAGGGGAGAAUGGAAUUCCCGGUGUAGCGGUGAAAUGCGCAGAUAUCGGGAGGAACACCGGUGGCGAAGGCGGUUCUCUGGGCCUUACCUGACGCUGAGGAGCGAAGCGUGGGGAGCGAACAGG